UCCAGACUCCUACGGGAGGCAGCAGUGAGGAAUAUUGGUCAAUGGGCGGGAGCCUGAACCAGCCAAGCCGCGUGAGGGAAGAAGGUACAGCGUAUCGUAAACCUCUUUUGUCAGGGAACAAAGGCGGGGACUAGUCCCCGGAUGAGGGUACCUGAAGAAAAAGCAUCGGCUAACUCCGUGCCAGCAGCCGCGGUAAUACGGAGGAUGCGAGCGUUAUCCGGAUUUACUGGGUGUAAAGGGAGCGUAGACGGCAGGGCAAGCCAGAAGUGAAAACGCAGAGCUUAACUUUGCGACUGCUUUUGGAACUGCCCAGCUAGAGUACAGGAGAGGUAAGUGGAAUUCCUAGUGUAGCGGUGAAAUGCGUAGAUAUUAGGAGGAACACCAGUGGCGAAGGCGGCUUACUGGACUGAGACUGACGUUGAGGCUCGAAAGCGUGGGGAGCAAACAGGAUUAGAUACCCUGGUA
rnacentral:rRNA from 1 species